ensembl:misc_RNA 7SK 7SK RNA
AAAUGUGAGGGCAAUCUGGCUGUGACAGAUGUCACUCCAUUGAUUGCCAGGGUAACAUUCAGCUGAUCUGGCUGGCCAGGCGGGUGUCCCCUUCCACCCUCACCACUCCAUGUGUGUCCCUCCCAAAGAUGUGGGCCAAAGAGGACGAAAUUCCCCAAUAGAUCGAGGAGGACCGUUCUUCUAGCAAGGGUAUACAAAUAGCUGCACUCCCCUGCUAGAACCUCCAAAUAAGCUCUGCAAAUGACCUGCCUCUUCAUGAUUCAAGUUGGUCCAUGCUCAUGGUUUCUUCAUUGUCCAAAAUGGCGGCUAUGGCUCCAAGUCAUUACAUUU